rnacentral:tRNA from 2 species
AGGGGUAUAGCAUCAGGUGAUGCCACUCACUUACACUGAACUGAGGGAUGUUCAAUUCAUCCUACCCCUA